rnacentral:rRNA from 1 species
UACGUAGGGUGCAAGCGUUGUCCGGACUUAUUGGGCGUAAAGAGCGUGUAGGCGGCCAUGUAGGUCCGUUGUGAAAACUCGAGGCUCAACCUCGAGACGCCGAUGGAAACCAUCCAGCUAGAGUCCGGAAGAGGAGAGUGGAAUUCCUGGUGUAGCGGUGAAAUGCGUAGAGAUGUGGAGGAACACCAGUGGCGAAGGCGGCUUUCUGGUCUGUUACUGACGCUGAGGCGCGAAAGCGUGGGGAGCAAACAGGG